GACGAACGCUGGCGGCGUGCUUAACACAUGCAAGUCGAACGGAAAGGCCCGGCUUUUGUGGGGUGCUCGAGUGGCGAACGGGUGAGUAACACGCGAGUAACCUGCCCUUGACUUUGGGAUAACUUCAGGAAACUGGGGCUAAUACCGGAUAGGAGCUCCUGCUCCAUGGGGGGGGAUGGAAAGUUUCGGCGGUUGGGGAUGGAUUCGCGGCUUAUCAGCUUGUUUGUGGGGUAGGGGCGUACAAAGGCUUUGACGGGUAGGCGGCCUGAGAGGGUGACCGGCGUCAUUGGUACUGCGGUACGGACCAGACUCGUACGGGAGGCAGCGGUGGGGAAUAUUGCACAAUGGGCGGACGCCUGAUGCAGCGACGCCGCGUGCGUGAUGACGGCCUUCGGGUUGUAAACAGCUUUCGCAUGUGACGAAGCGUGAGUGACGGUAAUGGGUAAAGAAGCACCGGCUAACUACGUG
rnacentral:rRNA from 1 species